GGAAAAAUAUCCUCACCCGAUUCCCCCACCGCUUUGAUUAAUAUUAUUCUCUAGAAAAGUCUCCUGCCGCUUUGUCCCUCUAGGAUCUUCUCGAUCUCCACCGCAGCUGGCCGGAGAGGACACGGCGGCGGCAUGGGCUCCACUGCCGCAAGAGUCGAGGACUCGAGAAUGGCAUCAAGCGGCGGACGUCGGCGACGGCACCGUCGAUCGACUCCGCCUCCAACGUCCCGCGCCAGGACUCGGAGAAUAGCAUCGAGCAGCAAACGUCGGCGACGGCUGUGCCGGUCGGAUCCUUCUCCCACAUCCCAAUCAUCGACGAGCCUUCCCUCAUGCUGAUUUGGCCGUCACGCGCCAUCAGGAGGGACUUGGGGUAGGUAUGGAGGUGGAGGACGAAGAGGUUCACCAUGGCUGGAGUGGCAGGGAGCCCUUAGCUGGGGCGGACGCCGCCUACGAAUUCCACAGCCGGGGAGCACGCAAUGCCUUCUUUUCUCAUCUCUUUCAUCCAAUCGCUUGCUUUUUUUAUGAUCUUUCGAUCUGUUUUGGUCCAACAAUGUUUCUCUCCAAUUUCGUUUCCAUUGAUUCUGGUUUUCCUAAGUUUUUUUGUAGGUCCAUCCCGGCAGCUGAAUAAAACUUGCAGACAAAACUUUGGGAUAGUGGACGGCAAGGCUGGUUGCGCAAACAUGAACGACCAGGUGAGGUUGUUCGUUCCUUUUUUUUCCUUGCCUCCUGAUCUCUUUCCCUCUCAUUCCCCUCUAUAUUCUCCUCACCUAUCUCAUUUUUAUUUACCUCUCUCUGGAUCCGUCUAAUUUUUGCGUUCCAAGCAUGGCAUAGAGCAUCACCUCUAAAUUAUUAUACGUGAUGGAUGAGAGAAGAGUAAUUGUUCUCUUAAUUUGCGAAUAGCAAAGCAGGGAAUUUUUUUCUUUUGUAAAAGUUACUUCUUGGAAAAUUUGGGAGAAAUGAGCUCAUAUUUAUUUAAGGUAAUACUAAAACAGUGGUAAAGGCAUGUAUAUUUUUGUACUAUUAAUAGUGAAUUCAUGGAAUGCGAAUAAGCAUGUGCAGAGAACUCCAUUCAAACCAUGUGCGUUACAGGAAAAGACAUAGACUGAAGAGAAGUCAUAUGAAUAUAUUGCUUUCUCUUACUACUUAAUGGUCUCCUAAUAUAUGAGAAUGCUACCUCUAAAUUAUUAUACGUGAUGGAUGAGAGAAGAGUAAUUGUUCCCUUAAUUUGUGAAUAGCAAAGCAAGGAAUUUUCUUUUGUAAAAGUUACUUCUUGGAAAAUUUGGGAGAAAUGAGCUCAUAUUUAAGGUAAUACUAAAACAGUGGUAAAGGCAUGUAUAUUUUGUACAUCAAUAGUGAAUUCACGGAUACGAAUAAGCAUGUGCAGAGAACUCAGUUCAAACUGUGUGAAGGAAAAGACAUAAACUGAAGAGGAGUCAUAUGAAUAUAUUGCUUUCUCUUACUACUUAAUGGUCUCCUGAUACAUGAGAAUGCUAUAGAAAUACUUCUUGGGAAGGUGAGUACAAAAUGAUAGAUUAUGUUUUAAUUUUCUAAUCUGUUAGCUUUCCCCAGUCUCAUAUUGAGUACAGAUUGGAUUCAUUAGUUCUUCCUCCUUUCCUAAAUGAUUUAUAUCCAUAAAUUUUUAUUUGAGUAGGAAGUUAGCCCCUUUGGUGACCAUUUGGGUUACUUGAUAGACCAUGGUGACCUUACUACUCUCAGGAAAAUGGAUGAUAGAAAAGGCAAGAAAAUGUUCUGAUUUUCAUAAGAAAUCAUGAGAAUAUAAAAUACCAUGAUUUUCAUAAGAAAUCAUGAGAAUAUGUUGUAUGUAAUUGGCAGAAGAAUAUAGAAGUAAAUCAAGUAUUAAUUUUUAUUAAAGUUUGUGAUAUGUUACCAAUGUUUGCAGUAGCUUCAUCAAUUUCGAUAUUCUAUUUAGUUUUUCUCUAUGGGUGACCUUCGGGUUUUUCUUGAGCGCAUAGAAACAAUAAUGGUUGGAAGAAUCAUGAGUUAAGUUUUUUUUGCAACGUGUGUUUCGCAUAUAGUUCAGGGUUUCCGCAGGCUUUUUGGAGUAUAGGUGAAAUAUCUCUGCAAGUGGGUGCUCCAGGUCCUGGUUCAAUUCUGAUGUUAGUUAAUAAAUAGAAAUUCUUUGAUGUCAGCAAUUGUUAUGCAGCAUUCAGCCAGUAAAAUGAAGCAUCUGGUUUCCAAUAUCAGGUGUCUGAAGACGGCGAGUAUUUUUCAGGUGCCGAAAUUACUAUGACCAAUGUGUCGACUAGCAUAAUGACGAAGUCAAGACCCUUACUUUUGGUUGUGUACACAAAUUGAAGAUGAAGCUCUCGGCAAGUCUUAGUUCAGCUACAUGAUGUUCUUUCUUACAUCUAAAAGGAGAGAACUUGAAGCUAUUAUGCGCCCCCGUGAUGUGCUGCCAAUUAUUCACCUAGGAAAGCCUAGCACCACAAAACUACUCAGACACGUAAAUCUCAGGGUCCAUGUAAGUGUGUGCCUUUGCCGGCGAGACCGGCCUCCUUCUUUCUCGCCUCCUCCAGUUCCACGCCGGCGUCGUGGUCUUCAAGAUGUACUGGUGUACUGUAUCCUCGACGCGCUGGCUCUUCUGCUGAUACACGUCCAAGGCUAGAUUUCAUGGGCAUUUUUUACGUGUUGCUGGGCCCAUUGGGUUUUCAGGUCUCCUCUAGCACACACAUGACACAUGUAUCAAUUCACUCAUAAUUUAUAAGUACAAAAUUACAGCCUAUGCUACGACAUCAAACCCCCAGAGACGAAAAGAUAUCAGCUGCUGAAUUCUCCUUCUUUGGUCCCUAGAUAGCCCUACUUUUAGGCAAAGAUGAACUUAGUUGUUGUUAUGUCCGUGGUCCACUAUUUUGUUUCCCUUUUCUCUAUCCUAUUUCAGUUUGAUCAAUGCAGGCAAAGAUGAAUCAGUUUGAUCAAUGCAACUUUCUAUUCCUA